UAAGGAUGGGUCUGCGGCCUAUCAGGUAGUAGUGGGUGUAGCGUACCUACUAGCCUACGACGGGUACGGGUUGUGAGAGCAAGAGCCCGGAGAUGGAUUCUGAGACACGAAUCCAGGCCCUACGGGGUGCAGCAGGCGCGAAAACUUUACAAUGCUGGCAACAGCGAUAAGGGAACCUCGAGUGCCAGGUUACAAAUCUGGCUGUCGAGAUGCCUAAAAAGCAUUUCAUAGCAAGGGCCGGGCAAGACCGGUGCCAGCCGCCGCGGUAACACCGGCGGCUCGAGUGGUAACCGUUAUUAUUGGGUCUAAAGGGUCUGUAGCCGGCCGGAUAAGUCUCUUGAGAAAUCUGGCAGCUUAACUGUCAGGCUUUCAGGAGAUACUGUCUGGCUCGAGGCCGGGAGAGGUGAGAGGUACUUCAGGGGUAGGGGUGAAAUCUUGUAAUCCUUGAAGGACCACCAGGGGCGAAGGCGUCUCACCAGAACGGACCUGACGGCAAGGGACGAAAGCUAGGGGCACGAACCGGAUUAGAUACCCGGGUAGUCCUAGCCGUAAACGAUACUCGCUAGGUGUCGGCCACGGUGCGACCGUCGUCGGUGCCGUAGGGAAGCCGUGAAGCGAGCCACCUGGGAAGUACGGCCGCAAGGCUGAAACUUAAAGGAAUUGGCGGGGGAGCACCACAACGGGUGGAGCUUGCGGUUUAAUUGGAUUCAACGCCGGAAAUCUUACCGGGACCGACAGCAAUAUGAAGGCCAGGCUGAAGACUUUGCCGGAUUAGCUGAGAGGUGGUGCAUGGCCGUCGUCAGUUCGUACUGUGAAGCAUCCUGUUAAGUCAGGCAACGAGCGUGACC
rnacentral:rRNA from 1 species